GACGAACGCUGGCGGCGUGCUUAACACAUGCAAGUCGAACGAUGAAGCCGGAGCUUGCUCCGGUGGAUUAGUGGCGAACGGGUGAGUAACACGUGAGCAAUCUGCCCUUGACUCUGGGAUAACUGCGGGAAACUGUAGCUAAUACCGGAUACGACACCUUGGGGCAUCCCAGGGCGUGGAAAGAAUUUCGGUCAAGGAUGAGCUCGCGGCCUAUCAGCUAGUUGGUGAGGUAAUGGCUCACCAAGGCGACGACGGGUAGCCGGCCUGAGAGGGUAGCCGGCCAAACUGGAACUGAGACACGGUCCAGACUCCUACGGGAGGCAGCAGUGGGGAAUAUUGCACAAUGGGCGAAAGCCUGAUGCAGCAACGCCGCGUGAGGGAUGAAGGCCUUCGGGUUGUAAACCUCUUUUAGCAGGGAAGAAGCGAAAGUGACGGUACCUGCAGAAAAAGCACCGGCUAACUACGUGCCAGCAGCCGCCGCGG
rnacentral:rRNA from 1 species